rnacentral:rRNA from 1 species
CCCUUAGAUGUUCUGGGCAGCACGCGCGCUACAAUGGUCUUCGCAAACGGAUGCAUUCUCGAAGGAGAAUGCCAAUCUUGGAAUCUAUGCCUUGGUCGGGACAGUUGCUUGCAAUUUUUCGACUCGAACCAGGAAUUCCUUGUAAUCGUGAUUCAUCACAUCACGAUGAAUACGUCCCUGCCCUUUGUACACACCGCCCGUCGCUCCUACCGAUCGAAGAGUUAGGUGAAUUGUUUUGAUCGAUCAGAUUUGACUAUGGUCAACUCUCGUUGUGAAAUUCUGUGAAUCUGACUGUUUAGAGGAAGGAAAAGUCGUAACA